rnacentral:misc_RNA from 1 species
GCUAUUUUAGCCCUAGAUCUAAAAAGAAUCCGACUAAGAGGCCAAUUUCAAUGAACCUCUACAAUUAAACUCCGAAUGAGAAAUGCUAGCAAGUGGCGCAUGUUUCGCUAGUCGGUGGGGCUCAAACUUUAUGGGAUUUUUAUAUCUAUUUCCUCCUCAUUCUUUGUUGAAAUCAAAUUGUUUAUUUUUUAUACGUUUAUCGAACGAUAAGUACCACUUUAGAUUC